rnacentral:lncRNA from 1 species
CUACUUUCUUCAUUUCCAUCAGCGACUUAGAAAUCUAGCACAGCUCUGUGGAGCCCUCGUUUCAUGUUAAGCCGUUAGCCAUGCUUUGGCUUUCCAGUAUUUGGUUCCAGGGAGCAAAUAUGCUGUAGGAUCAUGUGAAAGAUGCAUGUUUUCACAGACUCACAUCCAACACACAUUCAAAAUCUGAGAUGUGGGAGAAAGAGGCAGUGAGCCAAUGGGUACACAUCCUUGUCUGGGCCAAGGAUGGGGGCCAGCUUUUAUUUUGAAGGAGAGUCUUUUAAAAAGACUAAAUAAAGGAAAUAGAAGAAAAUGUUGGUUUUAUGGAUAUAUAUGGUUAUUAUACCCAUUACAACUACUGUCACAUUUCCUUUUUUACAUCUUCCUAAACUUGUGCUGAGACAGUAAUUUUUUUUAUUAUUAUUAACAUGGAACUUUUUCCCGGACUCCCAUCAACCAGAGAUGCCCUGAGUGUAGAGAAGACACUGUACAAUACAGGUCCCCGAUGUUCUGUGGGAUGUGCUUGCUGCAGAGACAGAAGAGUUUUGGACCCAGGCACAUAAGUGCUUAAGAUGGCUUCAGUGACUUCUGACAAGAACCUUCACCAAGGCUGUCACUUCCCCCCAAUAAAGCAGUGUUCCUCUGCAUGGCUGACUCCAUGUCCUCAACCCGGAUCCCCUCAUCUGAGAAGUCCAGUUGCCUGUCAAGCUCUUCCUCUGCAGGCCAGGCAGGGAGCAUGAUGCUUAUGCCUUUGAAGCCUGUGGCCUUUGGAGCCAGCUUAAGUGUAAAGACUUAAAAUAGGCUGAUGACUGGGGAAAACCUGGAGAAAAGGUCAUCUGCAAAGGGCAGGCCAAGACGGCGUCUAAGCGGCACCCACUUCUCUGUCCUCCAGCCUUGCUAAAUAUGUUUCUAAGGCACGAUGUCCUAAGGAAAUAAUGUCCCUUGACCUCAUUCCAAGGAGAUUAAGAAGACAACACUAGGACUAGACAUUUGAAGCCCCAGUGCAAGCGGAAUUCAUCAUCCAAAACCCCAAACACGAUAAAGCCUCCUCUAAGGACAUUGAAAGUGCAUUCUAGCAGAUAAGAACUCUGGCCUUUUCUGUUCUGGGAACCUUAAGUAGUCACACCAGCCCAUUACGUCUUAAAUGUUGCCUGUGGCCCGGGAACAAUGAGCCUGAGACCCAGGAGCUGAAGCAGUAGGCAGCCUGCCAAGUUCAACACCCGGCCAGUCUGCAGAGCAGAGCCUGCUGGGGGCUGCUUCCGGCUCUGCCUGAGAUGCGGAGCAAAGAUUUCCAUCCUGGCUUUCCGCAUGCACGUUCCACAGAGAAGGCCUGGACCAGCGAUGACCUGCUUUGACAUUUUCCAUGACGCCCUUUAUUUUGUUUUGUUUUCUGUUUGAUAGUGUAACUUCGGGUUUCUUUUUUUGUAACAAUCACUUGGCAAGGAUUACUCUUAGAUGUCAUGGGGGAGUCACCAGAUGCAGCUGGAUUCUCCCUUGGGCAGAUGCCUCGUAAAUGGGGCUUCAUGGGAAUUUACUGGAUUAUUUGUGAAGGAACCCUUUGUUGCACAGCCGUUGGUCAAGACUGGCCCUUGCUUGUGGAAUUGAAAGAAGCUGCAGUGGAGCCUUAUGACAAUGUAUUAUCAUAAGGGAUUAAAAAUUAUAUUAAAAAAAUGGAAAUCCGGGGGACUGGAGAGAUGGCUCGGUGGUUAAGAGCUCUUCACUGCUCUAGUGGAGCCUUCUGUUAACCUCCAGCUCCUAGAGCCCUGCCACCCUGUUCUUAACUCUGUGGAUACCUGCACUCACCUACACACAUAUACAGAUACAUAUACACAGAUAUUUAAAAGUAAAUCUUAGAAAAUGAAACUACAUAUUGCUUUAUCUCCAUUUUUAAAAAUCCUUAUAAAGUGCUGUGUUUCUCUCUUGCAUUUGCCUUCAUUGGAGACUCAUAACGAGUAUUUAAAGCAACCAAACUCAACCGCUAACGACUGCCUUCUUUAGUGCACUUGGUGGCAAAUGACCUGUAUUGAGCAUCCGGUAGAUCAGUUUUUCAUCCAGUUCUUAACCCACAUCAGUGUGUUUUCAUGUUGGAGGACAUACAGGGGCAUGUCCCUACUGUGUGGCAGGCAGUCUCCAAUACAUUGUCCUCUGGAAGGAGGGGGGGUGGUAGAGGUUAAGAUCAGUUUGGACCUUUUGGACCUUGCCUAAUUUCUUUUAUGCAUGCAUAACAUGGAUUCCACUUGGUUUGUGGCAAUGCUCCAGGCCUGCCCAGGGUGCUUACUAACAAGACUUUAUUUCCACUGGGACAUGUUUGGUAUAUUUCCAGAAAGUUCUUUACUAUGAAGACUCAGUGAGUUUUCUGGGAGACAUGAUUGUUGACUUUCACCAGGAGCCAAAGCCUCCUCCUUCUGUUGCCUGAGCUUGGAAAAGAGGUAGUAUGAUUCUGCCUUAAAACAUGAGUAGGACUUGUGCCUAUGCAGUUUAAAUGAUAUUUUAUUGACUGUUUUAUUUAUCACUCCAUUUUCUAAACUACUGCAUAGAUGCAUUGGCUGGUAUCAAAACAUGUUUGCCCAAGACUAUUGAAGAGCCCACAUGUUUAUCAGUAGAGGAAUCCUCACUCUAAUACGCCUAUACAAUGGAAUAUUAUACAGAUAUAAAGAGAAGUGAAGAGUGAUUUAUUCAUAUGCCGCUAUGGAAGAUUAUUAGAAUGUGUUGUUAAUAUUUAAAGAUGUGAUUAUAAAAAUUCAAAAUGAAAUGAAAGAACUAAACCUAAUUUUGCAUUAAGUUGAUGACAAAUCCACUCAGGGAAGAAACUUUUCAAGUGACCUUAGACCAUGAGAAUUAAACUGAGUGUGGUGGUACAUGCCUUUGGUCCCAGAAUUUAGGAGAUGGAAACAGGAAGGAAGAUCAGAAGUUCAAGAUCAGCCCAGGCUAGUUGGGACCCUGGCUCAAAAAAGCAACAACAGCAUAAAUAAGUAAAACAAGAUUAAUAAAUAAAUAAACAAAUAACAAAAAUGAGAUCCUAAGUAUGGGUUAUGUUCUUAGAACAAAAGGGAAAUAACAAUAAUAAAAACUGCACAAAGUUUCAAUCCUUUCCAGUAAUUAUAUUAUUCAAAGUGUUACUUUUGUUCUUGAGACUGUUGGAUGCGUUUCAUGGGGUAAAACAUGUAAUGAGCAUCCUAUGAGCAGGGAUUCUGAGAAGGGUGGAGGUGGACCUGAGGUCCAGGAAAAACAGAGUGACUGCAGCCCACAGCGGGUGUCUAUUAGCCCUCUCACCUCUCUAUAUUGUCAUCCCCUUCCCAGAUGCUGGGACCUAAGAAAUUGUAUGUGUGAAGAUUGAGGGAGUAGAAAUCUACCCUGAAGAUCUCAUAUUAUUGGCAAAAACAGAUUUUAUUGUGAAAACAAAGCAAGUUUAUUAGAAACCUUUGCUUGCUUGUUUUUUGUUUUUUGUUUUUAAUUUCAAGUAGAAAAUUUGUCUGGGAUGUGGCUCUGUAGCUGUCUUGCUGAGAGUUUAUCUGCAAAGAGGUGUUCCUUGCUAUGCACUCUCUACAACCCACCACUUCCUCCUGCAUCCUCGGGACUGGGCUCAGUUUGGCUCUACAUUGCCCCAUGGGGGGGGUAUAUUUAGGAGGUGACUGCAGCUAAGUUUGCUUGCCUUGCAAGGGUGGGUGCUCUUCCUGAGUAAGGCGCCGUGAUUGAAUUUAUAUAUUUUUAUGGCUGCAGGCUUAUUUCCUGAUUUUCCAGAGUUAAAGAAAUGAUUCAAAAUAAUAAACUUCCUUCUCUUCUUUUGAUUGAAUCUGUGGUGGUAAUAAAAUAAAGAACAGCUGGGCAGGGUGUCAGCAACGACUAACUUCUGGCCUACUGUGGAUGACAAUAACCCCUCUACUGCAAGAAAAUGAAGCCUUCUUUGUGGCAGACACUCACCUAACCCUUGCAUUGUCCAUGAUGACCCAUAGAGUGUUAAGCCCACAGACUUGAGACCAGGAGAUGCAAUCCAGUAGCAGAAUGCCUCAGCUAUGUGGUCUCACUUGUACUCCACUCUGCAGGCUCCAUGGAUACCACUGUAUCUGAAGAAAAUGUUUAUAGAAAAAGAGGUGCCUGAUCACAAAUUUAUAUGCUCUUUCCUUCUCGCUGUUCCUGAAACAGAAAUGGCUUGCAUUUUCAUCGUUUUCACUGGUCAUCCAGAAAGGGCGUAAAGCACGUGGUGGGAUAUACAUGGUUGCAUGCAGAGACUUAAACAACUAAGGACUUGCUGGCUGUAAGGAGCCAGGGAACCUGUCCCUCAGCCACCGAG